UACGUAGGGUGCAAGCGUUAAUCGGAAUUACUGGGCGUAAAGCGUGCGCAGGCGGUUUUGUAAGUCUGACGUGAAAUCCCCGGGCUCAACCUGGGAAUUGCGUUGGAGACUGCAAGGCUGGAGUCUGGCAGAGGGGGGGUAGAAUUCCACGUGUAGCAGUGAAAUGCGUAGAGAUGUGGAGGAACACCGAUGGCGAAGGCAGCCCCCCUGGGUCAAGACUGACGCUCAUGCACGAAAGGCGUGGGGAGCAAACAGG
rnacentral:rRNA from 1 species